UGGGGAAUCUUCCGCAAUGGACGAAAGUCUGACGGAGCAACGCCGCGUGAGUGAAGACGGCCUUCGGGUUGUAAAGCUCUGUGAUUCGGGACGAAAGGCCAUAUGUGAAUAAUAUAUGGAAAUGACGGUACCGAAAAAGCAAGCCACGGCUAACUACGUGCCAGCAGCCGCGGUAAUACGUAGGUGGCAAGCGUUGUCCGGAAUUAUUGGGCGUAAAGCGCGCGCAGGCGGUCACUUAAGUCCAUCUUAGAAGUGCGGGGCUUAACCCCGUGAUGGGAUGGAAACUGGGGGACUUGAGUAUCGGAGAGGAAAGUGGAAUUCCUAGUGUAGCGGUGAAAUGCGUAGAUAUUAGGAAGAACACCGGUGGCGAAGGCGACUUUCUGGACGAAAACUGACGCUGAGGCGCGAAAGCGUGGGGAGCAAACAGG
rnacentral:rRNA from 1 species